UACGUAGGGUGCAAGCGUUGUCCGGAAUUAUUGGGCGUAAAGAGCUCGUAGCGGUUUGUUGCGUCGGCUGUGAAAUCCCGAGGCUCAACCUCGGGUCUGCAGUCGAUACGAGCAAACUAGAGUGUUGCAGGGGAGACUGGAAUUCCUGGUGUAGCGGUGAAAUGCGCAGAGUAUCAGGAGGAACACCGGUGGCGAAGGCGGGUCUCUGG
rnacentral:rRNA from 1 species